rnacentral:misc_RNA from 1 species
AACCCUUUCUUCAAGUGUCCAAUCUGUACAAAAUUCCACCAAUCAGAAAAAAAAUACAAAAAAUUAUCCACCAAUCAUGAUUGCACAUUUAGAAUGAGUACAGCUAUUAUUGCGAGGGGUCACCCAAGGAACAAUUAUUUGGAUUGGCCCACAUAAAAUAGUACCCACAAAAAAAAAAAGCCUAUAACACGUGUAUGGAACUCGGCAUAUCUUCCUCUUUCGGAGGAUUAUAAAAUACUCUCUCACAGCACUCUCUUUUACAAGAGUGAAUCUCUUUAUAAUACAGAGAAUAAAUUUUAUAUAAUUAUAAAAUAUAUAUAUAGAUAGAGCCCAUUUAAUAAUCUCUUUAUCUUAU